UUACAGUACAACGUCAUUCAAUAUGAUUUAAUUCCAUGGGUUAUUAACGAAGGGACUUUUUCUGGAAAAUCCAGUACUGCACGCUCAGUCAGUUAUUUGUUUGCUACUCCCUCCUGGAUUGGUUUCAUUUCUGUAGGAAGUUCACUUAGUUUACUACGAGAAAAGUGAAAGCUUUGCAGACGGGAAAGUUUUUGCUGGAGACACUGCGGUCGCUGAGAAAGAAAGUCAGGCUACUGUUGUGUAAAUGAAGAUGCUUGCACUGAGGAUGAAUCUAUCUCCCUGUACAAUCUGUUUCUUAUGGCUUUGUGGAUCUUCUCUUGCAGCGGCUUCUCAGAACAUGUUACGUUGUGCUGAAAGCACUGGGAUCUUGUAUCAAGAUGCUGUACUGAGCUGCUCUCUGCACUCUGAAUAUGAUGAUGUGAUUGUUACAAAACUGAUAUGGCAGAAAGUGGCAAGUAACAGAACAUCACUGAUUGCUUACAAAGACGGGAUAUUUACAACACAAAAUCAGCGAUUCAGCCUGCAAGAGGACUGGAGUAAUACAAGCAGAGAUGUGUCCCUCGUGGUGAGGAAGACCCAGACCAGCGACCAGGGGCUCUACCAGUGUUCAGUAGUGUCAAAUCGGGGAAUAGAUGCUUCCAAUGUCACCCUAAUUGUGACAGCUCGAGUGACAGCUGAUGAACCAGCUCCGAAGGAACAAGAGAAGCCGAGGUAUCACUGGAUUCUCAUUGCAGCACUGGUGGGAUUGCUGCUUGUCAUCGGAGGCUUUUUGUUGGGACAAAAAUUCAUCAUCCAAAGGAAGUUACAAUGGCAGGAACCCAUAUCUGUGGAGGUACAACGAAGAACACAGAAGAUAGUUCAGUGGAGUGGAGAUACAUUACUAGUUGAUUAAUGAUUAAGGAUGAGGAAAUAAUAUAUCAAACCUCAAUUGUUAUCAUGUUUUACAAACAUUCUCUAUUGAACUGUGUAUGUGAACAUUAUCGAUUAGCUACGGCUGAACCACUUACGUUCUGUAAUUUCAUUCUGCUGAAUUGUUUAUUAUGAUGUGCUUUUACUAACUACUGUGACCUGUGAAGAUGUGAAAGGAGUUUUAUUUUCAGCAGCACUACAAAUGAUUGAGACAGCUAGAGUGUACAAUGCACAGUUCCAGCUCCCAGCUCCGGAGCAUGUCUGUCGUGUGCCACCUGAACCAGUUGAAGCCUCUUCCAGGUCCCUAUGAUACCUAUAAAACCUGCAGGACUCCGCACCUCAGGACUGGAUUUGGGCACCCCUGAUUAGUUUGAAAUAGUGUUCAAUUUUGCAGUAAGAAAGUUCCCAGAUAACUUCAUUCCUAAAUAAGUCACAUUCAAAUUGUGAAUUUUAAAUUUAACUUCUAGUUACUCUUGGAUUCCUUCACAAACAAUGAAAAACGUAUAUGAAGCUGUUUGUCUUGGUAAUGCCACUGCACUUGUUGAAAGAACUGGGGGAGAUGGGGGUGGGAUCCACUGUAAGCACCUACACUGUAAAUAAAAACACUGUCUGUGGAUCUAGCAUUAGUAGAUCAGGUGCUGGUGACACAAGAACAUCCUGUUAUAAAUAUGUAAUCAUGAAUAUUGUGUAAAUAUGUUUUACAUUUUUAAAUCUAAUAAAUAUCUCUAAACUUG